rnacentral:rRNA from 1 species
UACGUAGGGCGCGAGCGUUGUCCGGAUUUAUUGGGCGUAAAGAGCUCGUAGGCGGCUUGUCGCGUCGACUGUGAAAUCCCGCGGCUCAACUGCGGGUCUGCAGUCGAUACGGGCAGGCUAGAGUUCGGUAGGGGAGACUGGAAUUCCUGGUGUAGCGGUGAAAUGCGCAGAUAUCAGGAGGAACACCGAUGGCGAAGGCAGGUCUCUGGGCCGAUACUGACGCUGAGGAGCGAAAGCGUGGGGAGCGAACAGG